rnacentral:rRNA from 1 species
AGAAUCAACGCUGGCGGCGUGCCUAACACAUGCAAGUCGAACGCGACUUGGGACUUCGGUUUCAAGUUGAGUGGCGAACGGGUGAGUAACACGUGGGUGAUCUACCUUCGAGUGGGGGAUAACGUUCCGAAAGGAACGCUAAUACCGCAUGACGUUCUGGGUUUAAAGACCUGGAAACCAAAGCCGGGGACCGCAAGGCCUGGCGCUUGAAGAGGAGCCCGCGUCCGAUUAGCUAGUUGGCGAGGUAAUGGCUCACCAAGGCGACGAUCGGUAGCCGGCCUGAGAGGGCGGUCGGCCACACUGGCACUGAGGUACGGGCCAGACUCCUACGGGAGGCAGCAGUGGGGAAUUUUGGGCAAUGGGCGAAAGCCUGACCCAGCAACGCCGCGUGAAGGACGAAAUCCCUUCGGGAUGUAAACUUCAAAAGUUGGGAAGAAAUGCUGGAGGAUAAAACCCUCCGGAGAUGACGGUACCCAACGUAAGCCCGGCUAACUACGUGCCAGCAGCCGC